UGCGUGCAAGGUUAAAGUGUAAAGCUGGAGCCGUAGCGAAAGCGAGUCUGAAUAGGGCGCUUUAGUACGUAGCUGUCGACCCGAAACCGAGUGAUCUACCCAUGUCCAGGGUGAAGUUCCGGUAACACGGAAUGGAGGCCCGAACCUUUUGGUGUUGAAAAACCAUAGGAUGAGGUGUGGGUAGCGGAGAAAUUCCAAUCGAACUCGGAGAUAGCUGGUUCUCCCCGAAAUAGCUUUAGGGCUAGCCUUGGAGAAUUGAGAGUUGGAGGUAGAGCACUAAUUGGGCUAGGGGCCCUCACCGGGUUACCGAACUCAGUUAAACUCCGAAUGCCAUCUUCUUCUACUCCAGGAGUCAGACUGCGAGUGCUAAGAUCCGUAGUCGAAAGGGAAACAGCCCAGACCACCAGCUAAGGUCCCUAAGUAACGCUUAAGUGGCAAAGGAUGUGGAGUUGCCUAGACAACCAGGAUGUUGGCUUAGAAGCAGCCAUCAUUCAAAGAGUGCGUAAUAGCUCACUGGUCAAGUGACUCUGCGCCGAAAAUGUAACGGGGCUAAAGCGUUCACCGAAGCUGUGGAUCGUGUCACAUUCACUCUGUCUUUGAGAUUUUUUGCUGAAUUCAUUUACAUUUAUGCUGAAAACUUCUUUCGUUUUAAAUCCGGUUUUCAGCCAAAUGAGCCUUCAGCUAAAGCUUGAAGCUGGAGUGAAUGUGAUACGAUGGUAGGGGAGCGUUCCAAGGGCGGUGAAGCAGAAGCGUAAGCGACUGUGGAGCGCUUGGAAGUGAGAAUGCCGGUAUGAGUAACGAAAAGAGGGGUGAGAAUCCCCUCCACCGUAAGCCUAAGGUUUCCUGAGGAAGGUUCGUCCGCUCAGGGUUAGUCGGGACCUAAGCUGAGGCCGAAAGGCGUAGGCGAUGGACAACAGGUUGAUAUUCCUGUACCACCUAUUUGCGUUUGUACGAUGGGGGGACGCAGGAGGGUAGGGAAGCGCACGACUGGAUGUGCGUCUAAAUAGUGAGGCUGAAGAGAUUGGCAAAUCCGUCUCUUCUUAAGGCUAGGCUAUGAAUGCGAGGGAAAUUUACAGUACCGAAGUUCCUGAUCUCACACUGCCAAGAAAAGCCUCUAGGAGUAAAUAGGUGCCCGUACCGCAAACCGACACAGGUAGGCGAGGAGAGAAUCCUAAGGUGCUCGGGAGAACUCUUGUUAAGGAACUCGGCAAAAUGACCCCGUAACUUCGGGAGAAGGGGUGCCCCGUUAGGGUUCAUAGCCCGAGGGGGCCGCAGUGAAGAGGCCCAGGCGACUGUUUAGCAAAAACACAGGUCUCUGCGAAGCCGUAAGGCGAUGUAUAGGGGCUGACGCCUGCCCGGUGCUGGAAGGUUAUGGGGAAGGGUUAGCGAUCUUCGAUCGCGAAGCUCUGAACCGAAGCCCCAGUAAACGGCGGCCGUAACUAUAACGGUCCUAAGGUAGCGAAAUUCCUUGUCGGGUAAGUUCCGACCCGCACGAAAGGCGUAACGAUCUGGGCGCUGUCUCAACAAGAGACCCGGUGAAAUUGUAUUACCAGUGAAGAUGCUGGUUACCCGCGACAAGACGGAAAGACCCCGUGGAGCUUUACUGUAGCUUGACAUUGAAUCUAGGUACGACUUGUACAGGAUAGGUGGGAGUCGCUGAAUCCGGAGCGCCAGCUUCGGUGGAGACAUCGGUGGGAUACCACUCUGGUCGUAUCGGGGUUCUAACUCAGGGCCGUGAUCCGGUCCGAGGACCGUGUCAGGUGGGCAGUUUGACUGGGGCGGUCGCCUCCUAAAAGGUAACGGAGGCGCUCCAAGGUUCCCUCAGCGCGGUUGGAAAUCGCGCG
rnacentral:rRNA from 2 species